AUGGAGCGUUCCCUGGACUCAUCCCCAUACCUAUCCCUCUCAGAUCUCUCUCUGUCCCAGUCUCUGGUCCUAGAGCGUUUGUCUCCGUCUCUGGUCCUUUGCAGCCACCUGUCUAUAUCCUUGGCUAUCUCUCGUUUUCUGUCUCUCUCAGAUCUGUAUCUGUCCCGGUCUCUCAUUUUGUCCCGGUCUUUCUCUCGGCCUCCGUCUCUGCUUUUCUCUGGGUCUCUGUCCCCAUCUCUCUCAGAUCUGUAUCUGCCCCCGUCUCUCCUAGAUCUGUCCCGGUCUCUCUCUCGGCCUCCGUCCCAGUCCUUCUCUGGGUCUCUGUCCCCGUCUUUAUCUCUGUUCCUUUCUGAUCUGUUUGUUUCUCUGACUACCGGUAUGUCCUUGUCGCUCUCUCUGGUACUGGAGUGUCUGUGCCCGUCUCCCUUUCGGUUUCUCUCAGAUCUGUCCCUUUCUCUGACUCUGUCCUUGUCUCUGGUACUAGAGCAUCUUUGCCUGGAUCUCUCUCUGGUAGGACUGUCCCCUUCUCUGGCUCUGUCCUCUCUGUGCCCAUCUCUCUCAGAUCUCUCCAUUUCUCUGACUAUAUCCUCCUCCCUCUCUCUGUCCUUCUCUCUGGUACCAGAGUGUCGGUGCCAGUCCCUCUCAGAUCUGUCCCUCUCAGAUCUGUCCCUCUCUAUGUCCCAUACCCUGUUACUAGAGCUGCUGUAUUCAACGGUCAUGUUUGAGUGCUGGUUUAGAAGGGGGCUGGCGCUGUCUGAUGGUAAUGAGGAAGUACUAAGAUGUUUAAAUGAGGGCUCGCUCUCCUUUUUCUCUUUUCCCUUCUCAUUCUCAAACUCCUUCCUUUUCAAGUCUCCCAUCUUCCCAUACAGCCUAUCAUUGGUCCUGUCUGUCAGCCGACCCAACUCCUCAACCCCCAAGUCCAGCCCAACGAUCUCCAGCAGGGUCUGCAUCUGCUCGUACCGCUGCUCAUCCUCAAGCCUCACCUUCUUCUCCUCAACUGGAGAAGACUUGGAUCUACUGCUGGAGUCAACAUGA
rnacentral:lncRNA from 1 species